AGCUUUGCACAAUGGCAGUAUCGUAGCCAAUGAGGUUUAUCCGAGGCACAAUUAUUGCUAAUUAAAAACUUUUCCCAAAAAUUUAGGCUGUGAAAACAAGAAAGUAAUUAAGUAGUACUUAGUUUCUCAUUCAGAGUUAAUUCU
rfam:Fukomys damarensis contig117117, whole genome shotgun sequence.